rnacentral:rRNA from 1 species
UGGGGAAUAUUGCACAAUGGGCGCAAGCCUGAUGCAGCCAUGCCGCGUGUAUGAAGAAGGCCUUCGGGUUGUAAAGUACUUUCAGCGGGGAGGAAGGGAGUAAAGUUAAUACCUUUGCUCAUUGACGUUACCCGCAGAAGAAGCACCGGCUAACUCCGUGCCAGCAGCCGCGGUAAUACGGAGGGUGCAAGCGUUAAUCGGAAUUACUGGGCGUAAAGCGCACGCAGGCGGUUUGUUAAGUCAGAUGUGAAAUCCCCGGGCUCAACCUGGGAACUGCAUCUGAUACUGGCAAGCUUGAGUCUCGUAGAGGGGGGUAGAAUUCCAGGUGUGGCGGUGAAAUGCGUAGAGAUCUGGGGGAAUACCGGUGGCGAAGGCGGCCCCCUGGACGAAGACUGACGCUCAGGUGCGAAAGCGUGGGGAGCAAACAGG